rnacentral:rRNA from 1 species
AGCGAACGCUGGCGGCAGGCCUAACACAUGCAAGUCGAACGAACUCUUCGGAGUUAGUGGCGGACGGGUGAGUAACACGUGGGAACGUGCCUUUAGGUUCGGAAUAACUCAGGGAAACUUGUGCUAAUACCGAAUGUGCCCUUCGGGGGAAAGAUUUAUCGCCUUUAGAGCGGCCCGCGUCUGAUUAGCUAGUUGGUGAGGUAAAGGCUCACCAAGGCGACGACCAGUAGCUGGUCUGAGAGGAUGAUCAGCCACAUUGGGACUGAGACACGGCCCAAACUCCUACGGGAGGCAGCAGUGGGGAAUCUUGCGCAAUGGGCGAAAGCCUGACGCAGCCAUGCCGCGUGAAUGAUGAAGGUCUUAGGAUUGUAAAAUUCUUUCACCGGGGACGAUAAUGACGGUACCCGGAGAAGAAGCCCCGGCUAACUUCGUG